rnacentral:rRNA from 1 species
GACGAACCGUGCGAACGUUAUUCGGAUUCACUGGGCUUAAAGGGCGCGUAGGCGGCGAUCCAAGUCUGGGGUGAAAGCCUUCGGCUUAACCGGAGAAGUGCCUUGGAUACUGGAUCGCUCGAGGGGGAUAGGGGCAUGCGGAACUUCCGGUGGAGCGGUGAAAUGCGUAGAUAUCGGAAGGAACGCCGGUGGCGAAAGCGGCAUGCUGGGUCCCUUCUGACGCUGAGGCGCGAAAGCCAGGGGAGCAAAC